AUGCAAUUCGAGCCGAACAUAGUACGGGGGAUGAUUGACCGGUGUUCAUUUCAUAACGGGAUGAGCGCCUUGGGGUGAAUCAGAGCUGGUGGAUCGCCAGCAUGUAGGGUACUCCUUGACCCGAAUCCGACAACUAACCUCGCAGGCUAUCUUAAGGAGGAACA
rnacentral:sRNA from 2 species